GACGAACGCUGGCGGCGUGCUUAACACAUGCAAGUCGAGCGGAGCGGCGAACGGGUGAGUAACGCGUGAGUAACUGCCCCCCUCUCUGGGAUAACAGUUGGAAACGGCUGCUAAUACCGGAUAGUGGGGGAUGACUCGCGUCCUAUCAGCUUGUUGGUGGGGUAGUGGCCACCCAAGGCGACAACGGGUAGCCGGCCUGAGAGGGCGACCGGCCAGAUUGGGCAGAGAGACGGCCCAAACUCCGACGUGAGGCAGCAGUGUGGAAUAUUGCACAAUGGGGGAAACCCUGAAGCAGUAACGCCGCGUGCGGGAGGACGGCCUUCGGGUUGUAAACCGCUUUCAGCCAUGACGCGGUAGUGGCAGAAGAAGCACCGGCUGACUACGUGCCAGAAGGCGAGGUAAUUC
rnacentral:rRNA from 1 species